GAUGAACGCUGGCGGCGUGCCUAAUACAUGCAAGUCGAGCGAACGGACGAGAAGCUUGCUUCUCUGAUGUUAGCGGCGGACGGGUGAGUAACACGUGGAUAACCUACCUAUAAGACUGGGAUAACUUCGGGAAACCGGAGCUAAUACCGGAUAAUAUUUUGAACCGCAUGGUUCAAAAGUGAAAGACGGUCUUGCUGUCACUUCUAGAUGGAUCCGCGCUGCAUUAGCUAGUUGGUAAGGUAACGGCUUACCAAGGCAACGAUGCAUAGCCGACCUGAGAGGGUGAUCGGCCACACUGGAACUGAGACACGGUCCAGACUCCUACGGGAGGGAGCAGGAGGGAAUCGUCCGCAAUGGGCGAAAGCCUGACGGAGCAACGCCGCGUGAGUGAUGAAGGUCUUCGGAUCGUAAAACUCUGUUAUUGGGGAAGAACAUAUGUGUAAGUAACUGUGCACGUCUUGACGGUACCUAAGCAGAGAGCCACGGCUAACUACGUG
rnacentral:rRNA from 1 species